rnacentral:rRNA from 1 species
GACGUAGGAGGCGAGCGUUGUUCGGAAUUACUGGGCGUAAAGGGCGCGUAGGCGGCCUUCUAAGUCGAACGUGAAAUCCCCAGGCUCAACCUGGGAACUGCGUCCGAUACUGGAUGGCUUGAAUCCGGGAGAGGGAUGCAGAAUUCCAGGUGUAGCGGUGAAAUGCGUAGAUAUCUGGAGGAAUACCGGUGGCGAAGGCGGCAUCCUGGACCGGCAUUGACGCUGAGGAGCGAAAGCCAGGGGAGCAAACGGG